GAGGGGUUAGUUAAAUCAUAACAUUACCUUGUCAAGGUAAAAUUACUAGUUGAACCCUUGUACCCCUCU
rnacentral:tRNA from 1 species